GACGAACGCUGGCGGCGUGCUUAACACAUGCAAGUCGAACGAAGUGGCGAACGGGUGAGUAACGCGUAAUCCACCUGCCCUUCAGAGGGGGACAACAGUUGGAAACGACUGCUCAUACCGCAUACUGAAGGAGGGGAUUGCGUCUGAUUAGCUAGUUGGAGGGGUAACGGCCCACCAAGGCGAUGAUCAGUAGCAGGUCUGAGAGGAUGAACGGCCAGAGUGGGACUGAGACACGGCCCAGACUCCUACGGGAGGCAGCAGGGGGGAAUCUUCCGCAAUGGACGAAAGUCUGGCGGAGCAACGCCGCGGGAGUGAUGACGGCCUUCGGGUGGUAAAGCUCUGUUAAUCGGGACGCGGUACCGGAAUAGAAAGCCACGGCUAACUACGUGCCAGCAGCCGCGGUAAUUC
rnacentral:rRNA from 1 species